GUAGGGAAUAUUGGGCAAUGGUCGGAAGACUGACCCAGCCAUGCCGCGUGCAGGAAGACGGCCCUCUGGGUUGUAAACUGCUUUUAUCUGGGAAGAAAAAGGCCAUGCGUGGCAAAUUGCCGGUACCAGAUGAAUAAGCACCGGCUAACUCCGUGCCAGCAGCCGCGGUAAUACGGAGGGUGCGAGCGUUGUCCGGAUUUAUUGGGUUUCAAGGGUGCGUAGGCGGCUGAUUAAGUCAGCGGUGAAAGACUUCGGCUUAACCGGAGCAGUGCCGUUGAUACUGGUUGGCUUGAGUGUCGGAGGGGUACAUGGAAUUGAUGGUGUAGCGGUGAAAUGCAUAGAUACCAUCAGGAACACCGAUAGCGAAGGCAUUGUACUGGCCGACAACUGACGCUGAUGCACGAAAGUGUGGGGAUCGAACAGGAUUAGAUACCCGUGUAGUCC
rnacentral:rRNA from 1 species